AAAAACCAACGCCCUUCGGGGCUCCUUGGUGAAUCAUAAUAACUUAACGAAUCGCAUGGCCUUGCGCCGGCGAUGGUUCAUUCAAAUUUCUGCCCUAUCAACUUUCGAUGGUAGGAUAGUGGCCUACCAUGGUGGCAACGGGUAACGGGGAAUUAGGGUUCGAUUCCGGAGAGGGAGCCUGAGAAACGGCUACCACAUCCAAGGAAGGCAGCAGGCGCGCAAAUUACCCAAUCCCGAUACGGGGAGGUAGUGACAAUAAAUACUGAUACGGGGCUCUUUUGGGUCUCGUAAUUGGAAUGAGAACAAUUUAAAUCCCUUAACGAGGAACAAUUGGAGGGCAAGUCUGGUGCCAGCAGCCGCGGUAAUUCCAGCUCCAAUAGCGUAUAUUAAAGUUGUUGCAGUUAAAAAGCUCGUAGUUGAACCUUGGGUCUGGCUGACCGGUCCGCCUCACCGCGAGUACUGGUUCGGCUGGACCUUUCCUUCUGGGGAACCUCAUGGCCUUCACUGGCUGUGGGGGGAACCAGGACUUUUACUGUGAAAAAAUUAGAGUGUUCAAAGCAGGCCUUUGCUCGAAUACAUUAGCAUGGAAUAAUAGAAUAGGACGUGCGGUUCUAUUUUGUUGGUUUCUAGGACCGCCGUAAUGAUUAAUAGGGAUAGUCGGGGGCGUCAGUAUUCAGCUGUCAGAGGUGAAAUUCUUGGAUUUGCUGAAGACUAACUACUGCGAAAGCAUUCGCCAAGGAUGUUUUCAUUAAUCAGGGAACGAAAGUUAGGGGAUCGAAGACGAUCAGAUACCGUCCUAA
rnacentral:rRNA from 1 species